rnacentral:rRNA from 1 species
GAGAAAGACGGGGCGGGGAGCCGCGGAAGUACGGGGGGCGAUAGCGUGGGUCGGAAGAGCGGGGCGAAAAGCGGAUGUAGUCGGGUACUCAAGUCAGAUGUGAAUGCCCGGUGCACAACCCCGGAACUGCCUUUGAAACGAGGUAGCUAGAAUCUUGGGGAGGUCAGUGGAAUUCCGAGUGUAGAGGUGAAAUUCGUAGAUAUUCGGAAGAACACCAGUGGCGAAGGAGACUGACUGGACAAGUAUUGACGCUGAGGUGCGAAAGCGUGGGGAGCAAACAGGAUUAGAUACCCUGUAGUC